GUAAAAGCAAGUAAACAUAACCCCAAAAUAACUUAACCAAAACCAAAAUAGUUACAUAUAUCCCACCUUAAAGAUCUUUUUGAAGAGGAGAAAACCAGCAUUUGGAAACAAAAAUUGGGAAGCUACGUAAGCCGUUUAUAGUCAUUGCCAGCAACUCCAACGAAGCUUGAGAAUGUUCUUUAAGUGUAAUCCCACAUGGAUUACGCGGGCUUGUAACCCGAGUGGGGGCUUUGAAUUGGUUGGAGAUUGAUUUUGGCCCUGAAGGUUGGACUAUGGGAAGGUUGAUUUCUGGCCCCGCCCAUUCCCAAGGAGAGAGUUGAGCUUUCGAGUCUUGAGCGUAAGUUCGGGGCUCGAUGCCUCCUAGAGCGGAGGGGACAGCGAGAGGCUGGUAACAGAGCACAACGAAGACCUCCCGCUCUCUUCGUUGGAAGGAUAACGGGCCGGUGCUUUCCAUGCCCAGUAGCUCCUGAUGGGCCGACCUCAAUAUAUGACAACAAUUUUUUUAAAUUUAAAUUUUGCAGGUAUCCUGAUGUGUUUACACAUCAUUGAAUGAUUUUUGUUUCUGGGUGGAAAUUGAAGGUAUGUAAUUCCGCAUCGAGUAUGAAUCCCGUCUUUGAUUUAGUACUCUCUGCACUCAAAAGUAAUCGGACUCCGAUGGUCUCUACAAAGUUUAUCAACUUGCAGCGGCGACCUAGGGUUUCUUCGCGCUUUCACCUCUCUCGAGCUUCGACUUCUAUUCCGUAUUUCUAUGGAGAAAGGGAAAGAGAAGGAAAACUCGAUGGGUUUGUCGUUUCUGUGAGAGUUUGCAACGAAGACAAAGGGCCUGGAAUUCUUUUCUUUUUCUCAGUUUGGGAAGAGGAGGAAGAUUUUGUUUUAAGAGAAGAGGCGAAAAGGAAAUAUCAGAAUCUGGGAACAGUUCUGUAAUAACCCAGUCCGAAAGAUCGGUAGUCGGAUGCUUAUAACAUUCAUAAUGGGAAAAUAUAUGAUAUAAACAUAAAACCUGAUACGAUCAUAAUGGGUUUCAAAUCCUACCAACGAAAGUAAAACCUGUUACUAGUUACCUACUGCCUUUCUCUGUUUGUUUUUUUUUCCUGUUUCAGCUGCCUUGUAUUUAUAUUACUCUGCACUGUAUGAGACUCUUAUCACAUCUUGCUUCUACAAAACUUCGAUUUUCUUUUCCCUCUGCUUCUGGGACUA